UUUUUAGGUAGAGGUUGCAAACAACAGGAGUACCUUAAGGGAGUUAGACAAAAGCUAUGAUCUUAAGAAAAAGGGGAGUUUGCCGAAAUAUAAUUGACUUGUCAUCAAUUGUGUUGGGAAUAUGGAGAAUAUCCAUAUGACUGUCAUUAGUUUACUAAUGGUGCGCUAUCAGAGGU
rnacentral:ncRNA from 1 species